GGGCCCUUAGCUCAGCGGUAGAGCAGGGGACUCAUAAUCCCUUGGCCGCAGGUUCGAAUCCUGCAGGGCCCACCA
rnacentral:tRNA from 1 species